AGUCACCAAGUUUGUGGGUAUUUGUUUUGACAACCCUAGGAAACUAUUACACAGCUUCCUUCAGGAAGUGACAUCUAAGCAGACCUCUGGAGGAGGAGUAAUUAGAAGCAGACUCUGAUACAGUUUAGUGGGCAGGCUAUUUACUAGAGAGAGUCACUGGGAUCCACAAGUGUGGCAGGAAGGGGAAGGACAUGGCCAGCAGCGGGAGAAGUCAAGCUGUUGAGGAAAUGCCCUCUAUAGACAUAAACUGAAGUUGCAUGCAUCAUACUAACUUGGAAGAGAACAAAGUAAUUUGUCAAGAGAUGACGACAAGCAGUUCAGACAUGUUCCAACUGAUUAUUGCACUUAGAGAAUUUCUAGACGUUUGUUCAUCUGAGGAAGGAAUUUCAAGAAUGAAGAACUUAAAAAGGGCCAGAUAAAUACUUGGAAAAAAUUAAAAAUAAUAAACUGGUUGAUAAAAGCAGGCAAACAUAAACUUGGGAGACAUCCCUGGGAAAAUUCUGAAGAGCAUGUAAGAUCAGACAAGAAUCAAUAAACUUUGUACAAUCAAAAGGAGUGCUAGUGCUGUUUACAACCUCUAGCAGGAAACAGAAGAAAGGACGCCAGCUGAGCAUCUAUUUACUGCCCACCAAGCAGGUGUGAGUUCCUACACUGUUUACUCAGAAGUGUUUUUCUACUGAGCAAGGUGCUUCUUCCCAGUCAUGGCAACAUUAUAUCCAACAGCUACUGGAGUAGUGCCAGUCCUGCUCCUUAAUUACUGAAUCACAUUCUUUCCAAUUCAUAAUACAAAAACUCAUGCUGUUGGAGAAAUGCCUAUUCAAAGUCUUCUGUCUAGGAGGUAGGCAAGGACCCCACAAUCUACUUUUUUACAGACUUUUUUUUCAUUUUUUAAAGGUUUAUU